rnacentral:lncRNA from 1 species
CCGUUUUCAGCAAUGUAAACACCUUUUCCUUGAGCCAAGUCAUCCCAUACUGUGCCUUCAUACCUUAAAGCCAAAAUAAUAAAAAGAGAGAUAAGAAAGCCACUUAGAUCAAGAUGCAAGUAUCUUUCCAUCACAAAGCUACCCAAACAGUCCUAUCUAAAACUCAACCUACAUUGCCAUUUCCUCCAGCUCCAGAAUCCAAACUCGACUUAAAUAAGAAGAAUACUAAACAUAAAAUGCAAAGCUUCGAAGCCAAGCCAACAUGGAGCUCAGAUAACAACAAACGAAGAAAGUUACUAGCUUUAUUAGUAUUAUGAUCCAAAUAGGUCUAUGCGGUGCCUAGGCGUCUGCUUAGUAAGUGUUGGCCUAAUCAAUAAUCCCAUAUAAAACGCCUAACUAGCCCUUAGCCAUUUCUUACGAGCUGCCAUCAGGGAAGAUGUAGCUGACCCACUGAAGAAACUCCUCAAUCCUAUCAAGCUCCUCAACAACAGCCUUAGGAGUAUCAAUAUCAUAGUGAUUAUCCGGAAUCGCCGGGUACGGCUUCCUAUAGGGGACAUAGAAAGGCUGAAUCCCAGGAUCCCUCCCUUCCUGAAUCUCCUCGUUCACCACCUCCCAAUCCUCCUCCUCCGCCCACACCGGGUCCCACCCCGGCUUCGUCAUCUCCGGCGGCGCGUCCGCCCACACCUCCCUCAGAUCCUCCUCCUUCCACCGCUCGGGGUCCUUCGGGAAGUCGAAGAGGUCCUCGUAGAACUUGUACUUCCUCUCCUCCUCCUCCUGGAUCCGCUUCACGCGCUUCCCCUCCAGCACGCGGUUGAACCGCCGGAUGUUGGUCUCCGGUGUUGUGUUCGGGUCGGGUGGUAGGUCGCUCCACACAUCAUCUUCUUCAUAAAAGUAAGCAUGUUGAGGAUCACCGUAUGGGCCCCUUUCUUCUCUAACCACUGCAUUUAUAGAAGAAGAAAAACACCUAUUAGCUCCCAACUAAACUAAUACCAGAAGUAAUGGUAAAGAUUACAGAAGAGGGGUAAUACUUCCAUCGGGUUUGUUUACAAACAUUCGAGCCUUAGCUGCAGCAACCUCCGCCAAACCAGAAUGCAGCUGGAAAACGUUUUCACAUCAGUAUAUUUAUCAAUACUUCUCCUAUAUUGCUGGAAGUUACAUGUAUCAUUGAGAGAGAGAAUAAUGGGUAACUACCGCACAAAUAUCUACGGUACAGCCAUGCUCCUCCUCCAAUAGCUCUCCAAAGUAGAAUCUACCCUGCAUCGUCAUUAUGAUGUGUAAACUUGUGUCACAACCACGAAUAUUCACUUCAUGGAGGACAAGAUUAUACUUAACCCAUCAUGGAUUCAUACGAGGGAUACCAAAUACAGAAGCUAUAUCGAACUCUGAUGCCAAAGACCAGCUAUUACUACUACUUACAUAUAGGAUGCGCUCGUUAACUUCGUAGACACCACACCCAUGCAUUCUACCAUGCUUCCAUUGACCAGCAUAGCGAUACCGACCUUUCUCCCUGGUUAUACAAAAUCAUAUAAUAUACGAUGUGUGAAUUAAGUAAUAAAGAAGAAAUCAACUAAAUUACAUGAUUUUGCUUGAUAUUUUAGUCAAAGUCAAGCAAAUAUAAAUCAUCAUAUUAAACCAAACCACUCAAAUCAUUGUUGAGAUGCAAUGCAGGCCAUCUAGUAACAGAAAAUAUCAUUGCAAAACUCACGGUUUUUCGCCAAACUGAGUGAUCCACUCUUCGUUUUCAUAGUAAGGAACUUGGUAAUUCCCAUCAGUUAGCGCAACACUGUCCUCGACAUCCAUUUCCAACCACUUCCUGUCUUCUGGAGACAUAUAAUCUCUCUUGAUAAUCCUUCCUUCAGCACGCAUCUUCUCUUCAAGCCUGCAUGAGACCGAGAGAACAAUAUCAUGCUCAAACGAAUAAGUCCAUAAAUAUCCCACUGGAAGACUGAUUAAUACUAGGAAUGAUGAUAACCAUACUUGGAACCUGGCAUGGGCUCAAUGUCAGGGAUAUCAACUUCAACAACCCCAUGACCUUCCAUAUCAUUCUGAAGCCAUUCACCCUCAUACCUAAAGAUUCAUAUACAGAGCCAAAAACAAAUUAUCUUAAAACACUAACAAUAGAACGAAAAACAAACGGUAAAACUAUGGAAAUAGAGAUAUCAUCACACCUCACAAGCCCGUUUUCAGCAAUGUAAACACCUUUUCCUUGAGCCAAGUCAUCCCAUACUGUGCCUUCAUACCUUAAAGCCAAAAUAAUAAAAAGAGAGAUAAGAAAGCCACUUAGAUCAAGAUGCAAGUAUCUUUCCAUCACAAAGCUACCCAAACAGUCCUAUCUAAAACUCAACCUACAUUGCCAUUUCCUCCAGCUCCAGAAUCCAAACUCGACUUAAAUAAGAAGAAUACUAAACAUAAAAUGCAAAGCUUCGAAGCCAAGCCAACAUGGAGCUCAGAUAACAACAAACGAAGAAAGUUACUAGCUUUAUUAGUAUUAUGAUCCAAAUAGGUCUAUGCGGUGCCUAGGCGUCUGCUUAGUAAGUGUUGGCCUAAUCAAUAAUCCCAUAUAAAACGCCUAACUAGCCCUUAGCCAUUUCUUACGAGCUGCCAUCAGGGAAGAUGUAGCUGACCCACUGAAGAAACUCCUCAAUCCUAUCAAGCUCCUCAACAACAGCCUUAGGAGUAUCAAUAUCAUAGUGAUUAUCCGGAAUCGCCGGGUACGGCUUCCUAUAGGGGACAUAGAAAGGCUGAAUCCCAGGAUCCCUCCCUUCCUGAAUCUCCUCGUUCACCACCUCCCAAUCCUCCUCCUCCGCCCACACCGGGUCCCACCCCGGCUUCGUCAUCUCCGGCGGCGCGUCCGCCCACACCUCCCUCAGAUCCUCCUCCUUCCACCGCUCUGGGUCCUUCGGGAAGUCGAAGAGGUCCUCGUAGAACUUGUACUUCCUCUCCUCCUCCUCCUGGAUCCGCUUCACGCGCUUCCCCUCCAGCACGCGGUUGAACCGCCGGAUGUUGGUCUCCGGUGUUGUGUUCGGGUCGGGUGGUAGGUCGCUUGGCCGGAUGUAGUUGAAGCCGUCGGUUUCGCGUUCCGGUUCGCCUUCGGAGGAUGAGUCCGAGUCCGAGCCCGAGUCCGAGUCCGAGCCGGGUUCUUCGUCCGAGUUAGCAUUGGGGGAUUUUUGGUCUUCUUCUUCUUCAUCGCUCGGGGAGUCAUUUUGCGGCUGUGACUCGGUGAGUUCGGGUGAAUCGUCGUCGUUGUUAGCCAUGGGAAAGAGAUGGAAGGAAGUGAGUGUUGAAGAGUGUGUGUGCGCGGAUAAGCUUUGCCAAGGGUGAGGUUUUUUUUUUUUUUGUAUAGAACGAACACUGAAACAGAUAUAUUCUCAGCUAAUUAUGAUUCUACCCUCUUUAUUUUGUUUACUUUUCAUUUCGCCCUGUAUGUUUAUUGAGGGCGCCGGUUUGGAAUUAAGAUCCUAACUUGUUUACCAGAUCAAAGUUUGGAUUGCAAGUCCAACAUGUUGGAUAAUAUCGAAUGUAGUAUGGGCCGAACAUUGAAUCUAUUGAAGGAGGACAUGGGCCGUUUCAAUUUCGUAAAAUCAUACUUGGAUAGUUGGAUGGAGAUGAACACACACAAGAAGCACAAUUCACUCACUCACACACUACAUAUUGCAUGGGUGCUAACAACCUAGAGUUGGAUCCCAGCAUUACCUUAAAAUCUCUUACUAAGUUUUUUUUUUUUUUUGCUAACAUCCUAGCCCCACCGAGGUGGUCCAGACUAAAGACCGAAGUGAGCAUGGACGCUGUCAGGGCGUCACCAUGUGGCUCACCGUGUAACGGUCUUCGGUCUCGGGUGCUGCAGCCCACAUGUAAAUUCCGCAGUGGCCAAGGCUCGAACCCAAAGGCGGGCACUCAAGCUGGAGCUCCUAUACCACUAGACCAAAGCAACUUGGUUUCUAAGUUCACUACAAGAAAACACAUACUUAGCGAGGAAAUUUAACGAGGAAAAACAAUCCUCGUAAAUUUACGUCAAUUUUACGAGGAACUUACGUGGAAAACUAAAGUCAUCGUUAUAAGGAAUAUGGAGUUUGGGGUUUGGAAUAUGGGGUUUGGGGUUUCGGGUUUCGGGUUUGGGGUUUAGAGGUUUCGGGGUUUGAGGUUUGGGGUUUGGGGUUUCAGGUUUGGGGUUUGGGGUUUGGGGUUUUCGGAUUUUAGGGAUUUAAACAUAAUACUCGUUAAUUCCACGUAAGCACAAAUCGUCGUAAAGACCACGUAUAAGAAAUCGUCGUAAAUUCCACGUAGGCAGAAAUCGUCGUAAANNNNNNNNNNNNNNNNNNNNNNNNNNNNNNNNNNNNNNNNNNNNNNNNNNNNNNNNNNNNNNNNNNNNNNNNNNNNNNNNNNNNNNNNNNNNNNNNNNNNNNNNNNNNNNNNNNNNNNNNNNNNNNNNNNNNNNNNNNNNNNNNNNNNNNNNNNNNNNNNNNNNNNNNNNNNNNNNNNNNNNNNNNNNNNNNNNNNNNNNNNNNNNNNNNNNNNNNNNNNNNNNNNNNNNNNNNNNNNNNNNNNNNNNNNNNNNNNNNNNNNNNNNNNNNNNNNNNNNNNNNNNNNNNNNNNNNNNNNNNNNNNNNNNNNNNNNNNNNNNNNNNNNNNNNNNNNNNNNNNNNNNNNNNNNNNNNNNNNNNNNNNNNNNNNNNNNNNNNNNNNNNNNNNNNNNNNNNNNNNNNNNNNNNNNNNNNNNNNNNNNNNNNNNNNNNNNNNNNNNNNNNNNNNNNNNNNNNNNNNNNNNNNNNNNNNNNNNNNNNNNNNNNNNNNNNNNNNNNNNNNNNNNNNNNNNNNNNNNNNNNNNNNNNNNNNNNNNNNNNNNNNNNNNNNNNNNNNNNNNNNNNNNNNNNNNNNNNNNNNNNNNNNNNNNNNNNNNNNNNNNNNNNNNNNNNNNNNNNNNNNNNNNNNNNNNNNNNNNNNNNNNNNNNNNNNNNNNNNNNNNNNNNNNNNNNNNNNNNNNNNNNNNNNNNNNNNNNNNNNNNNNNNNNNNNNNNNNNNNNNNNNNNNNNNNNNNNNNNNNNNNNNNNNNNNNNNNNNNNNNNNNNNNNNNNNNNNNNNNNNNNNNNNNNNNNAUUAGAAUCGCCCAGGCUUGCUCUAACUCCCGUAACACGGUCGAUGAGCACGGGAACGGGCCGAUGCUUCACACUACGGGCCAAAAACCCCACGCCGGUGUCCGUUUGGAAAUGGUAAUUAAAUAUUUUAUUAAAUAAUUUUUUUAAUACAUAUAUUAAUUUAUUCUAACUUUCUUAACUGUUUUUUAGGCCAAAGAGACGAGACAUCUCCCGUCUCUUAUGGAUCUCGUCUCUUUUGGAACUUUACGAGAGGACCCACAAGAACAAGGCGGGCGUAUUUGUAGAUGGCAAGUCCGAGCAAAUCUACAACGACGUGGUUGCUCGGGUUGAAGACCGCCAGACUCAGCUGACCCAGCAGUCUACCGACGGAUUACCCGUCACCUUAUCCACACUUGAAGUGGAUAAGAUUUACGAGGAGGUAAAUUUUCAAAAAAAUUAAUUUUUAAUUAUUCAUUUAAUUUAACUUUAAAUUUUUACUUACAAUAUUUAUUUUUUGUUUUUAAGGUUGUCCCUAAAAAAAAGGGACGGACGUUGGGUAUUGGUUCCGUCAACGAUGUUCCGAGAGCGACAUCGUCUUAUGGUCAGCGACGGGAUGAUGAAGUCACGGAGCUGCGUAGAGAGUCCGCUCAGCUGCGUAACGAGUUGACCGCGACAAAAUCUCGUAUGGGUGGAGUCGAGGGCUUCUUGGACGUUAUUGCGGCCACAAAUCCGGAAUGGGAGUCCAUGUUGAGGAACAUGCGACAACAACAUCCCAUUCAAGGCGAGUCAUCCGACGUACAUAACGAGGCGGAUGUUACGAGGAGGAGUGAUGAAUUCUACCGGGCGAUGAACGACCCUUAGUUUUUUUUUUGGUUGUUGUAUUAUAUAAAUUCAAAACUUAUUUAUAUAUAAAAUAUUUUCAUAUUGAUUUAUUUUUAUUUUAAAUUUUAAUUUAUUAUUAAAUUAAAUAAUUUUAAUUAUUUUUUAAUUAUAUUUUUAAAUUCUGUAAAAAUAAUAAAAACGAAGUAAAUUCGUAGCUAAUGUACGACCUCUUUACGUGGAAACCUUACGAGGAAAUGACGAGAAACAAUUAACGACUAUUUUACGAGGAAACAUUUGCGAGGAAAUAACGAGGAAAAGUUUACGAGUAUUUUACGAGGAAAUCGUUUCGUGGUUGUUACGUGUAUUUUGCGAGGAAACUCUUUCAAGGUAUUUACGUGUAGGUUAUGAGGAACUCAUUUCGAGGUAUUUACGAGGAAUUGUAGCGACGUCCUUGCGUGGAAUAUUGACGUGGUCUUUACGACGAAUCGCCCUACUUCGUCUUUACGACGAAAUAUAUUCCUCGCUAAGUUACGACGAAUUAGCGAGGAAAUAUGUGUUACGACGGACGAGUAACGAGCAAACGCGCUUCCUCGCUAUUUCAUCGUAAAGCCUCUUUUACGACGAAAUAACGAAGAAAACCGCCCUCGUUAAGGUGAUGUUUUCUUGCAGUGGUUUAUGACUAAUGUUAGAAUCCAGAUGGUCACCAAUCGAUGAUCUAAAACAUUUUUUAGCCUUUAAGAUAUAAUGUUUAUUUGGAAUUAGACCACAAACAAAUAAACAUAACUUUUUACCCAAAAUAAAAAAACACAUCUUAUUUAUUAUUAGUGUGGUUUAACUCUUCUAUAUUUUUCAACAUACAGUAAGUGUGCUGUGUGCUCUAUAGUGUUUAAAAACAGCUUAUGGUGAGUUUAAGUUCGGUUUAAAUAUAUCAUAAGCUUCUGUUCAAAUUUUCAAAUGGACUUGGAAAAGGUGUUUGAAAAAAACAUAUAAACCUUUUAUAUUUUAUUUAGAAUGGUUAGACAUCCUUUUCGUAAACCAGAUGUCUCUUCAUUGAUCACUUCAUGUAUUAAAAUUUAUCUUAAUAUUUAAAGGAAUACUAGCUUUUUAUCCGCGAACCCGCGCGGAUUUUUUCAUGUUUUAAACAUUUAAAAAAUCUCAUUAGCAUAAUUGUUUAUAUUCUUGUUAUAUAUUCAUAAUUUUUUUUACCACUUUAUGUCAUGUUCAAGGUAUUUAGUAUCUAUUUCGGUCUCUAUGAUUGUGUUUUUAUUUUAUUGUGUUUUAAAUCAUUCUACUUGGUAAAGUAAUAUUAAUGUGUAAAAUAUAAAAGUUUAAAGUAUAUUUGUUUGUUUUAUGAAACUAUAAUAUUAAUAUUCGGAUUUAAAGUUGAUUAUGCUCAGUAAAAUUUUAGAUUGAUAAUUUUUAAAACAAAUACAUUAGUAAGGAAAAAAUAGAAUAUACUAUCUUUACAGAUACAAUACGUGGGUUGUAAGUUUCUAAAACAGAAUUUGAUGAUUGCGUUAAUGGAUUCCUUUUUUUGAUAUGGUGACUACGUAGAACUAGGAAAAAAAGUUAGGAUGUUGUUUUGUUUUGGAAUAAACAAAAAUUUAGGAAUCGUUUUUAGAAUGGUCUUGUAUUUUGGGAUGAAAACAAUAAAAUUAGGUUGGAUUUUGUAAGCAUAUAAAAAUAUAAUUACAUCUCUUUUAUAAUACUAACUUACAUAAAAUCAUAUAACAACUAUCUCGCAAAUUUGAAUAAUAUUAUACCGUGUGAUUAUCUAGAAAACGGUAUUAUAGGACAUAUUUUCUUGCCAAUGAUUAAUGUAUAAACGAAUGUUGCUUCUUCGUUGUCAAAAUUGAGAAGUUUAUGUUACGUGGCAAAUAACAUAGCUUUUUAAUUUGCAGAGGCAAGUGAUAUUACUAUAAACCUAUUUCUAUGACAUAGCUCAUAUUUAAACCUUUGUUUUAGAAAUUAUUUAUAGAUUAUGUAAACAUUUUAUAUUAUUUAUCACUUGACUUUGCAAACUGAGCUGCAGAUCGCAUACGAAAAUAUUUUGGAUCGGAAAAAUAGAAAAAUUGUUUAUGAUCUGGACAACGAAUAUAUAAUAAGCCCAAAGGCCGAAACAAUAUAGCAUAAGUCGAGAAAAACCCGUAAAUAUUGCGGUGUAGAAAACAGAAUGUUUAGGUGAAUUUUUGUACAAAACGAGUGUGAAUCAAACAGUGGCAUUUGAUUGUAAUUACCGAGAAAAACUCUGGGUUAAAUUCAAAGUGUAUUCCUGUUUUAAUAGUUUAAAUAUGAAAAACUAAGCUUAUUUUAAAACGUGUUUACACAGAUAUAUAUGAAUUUCUAAUAUAAUGUUUCUACGUCACAUUACCUAACACAAGAACCCGAUCACUUCUUUGUUCGGUUGGAUUGUUAUCUAUAUGUAUAGUCAUCUUUAAAAAAAAGUAUAUGUAUAAUCAUUCUACAAUAUAAGUUAUAACCAGUUAGACAAUACUAUACAAAUAAACAGAAUAAUAAUUAAACAAUGAAAAAUAUUAACAUUAAAAUUGAUUGAUGCAGACUUCCAUGUCUUUGUAUACCUUGAAAAAAUAUUGCGCUUAGAACUUACGAAAGUUAAUUAUGGAAAGCGGAAGAAAACUCCCACUUGCAACACAUUAUAACUUCGUUUAAUCUUAUGCCAUUUCACGGACCACAAAUAGAACAUUCCCAUAUAUAGAGUUUUGUCUAAUCACUUAGAAUUGUAACUUAAACCGGAAUCAGAAUGAAAAUCAAAACUGAAACCGAAUGCUUAACCAAUUAAGAUCCAGACAAGUCGGUAGAUCCUAAGUGCAUGGCUCCUCCACACUCACCAACUACCACAUUGUGCUUGAUCUCUCUUUCUCUUACCUACCACCCCACUCCACUCUUGAUUUCAACAUUUGUCUUUUUGGGUUAACUUUCCGCUAUAUUUGUCUUGAUUUACUUUUCUUUACUAAUAACAAUUAACAUGAUAAUGGAAGUGUUUUAGUCAUCUUUGUCUGUCCUAAUAAAGGAUAUAUACAUGACCAAGCUGGAUUCAAAAAUAUGAUUGAGAUAUGAUAAUUCAAGCUAUGCAUAUAGCUAGUACCGAAACUGAUUCCAAACCUAAACUUAAUACAAAAACAAAAGACAGAAACAACUUUCUGACCUAUAAAAAACAUAACGAGGUUAAUAAGCUUCCGACUAGAUGUUAAAUUUCACUCUCCCACCAAACCCUUUACGGUCGAAAUGACAUGAUUAUAUUGUUGUCAUCAUAUUUGUUCCACAUUUUAAAAUAUUAUUUAGCUACUUUGUUCCACAUAUAACAUGAGUGUUUAUGAGUAGGCCGGCAUGACAUGAUUCUCAUCAUCUAUAUAACUAUCAUGGACCCAUGUAUUCGUGAUCGUAAUAUUUAUGCUAACGAACAAAACUCUCUUUUGAAUUAAUUAUUGGUUACUUUUUACUGAGCAGUUUUGUCUUCACAUAAAACCAAGCUAAAACUUACUAGGUAAGUCGUUUAUAAGCGUAUGAUACUAUGAUUGUGACCAAAAGAAAAGCUUGAAAUUUAUAGAUAGCAAUUAGUUUUGUCGGAGAAUGAUUUGUAAACAAUAUAUAAAUAGAUGACAUCGCAUGGAUGAUCAUUAACCUAAAACAUCUAUGAUAUAUCCGCUUACGUCAUGAAGAAACAUAAGAUCAUUCCAUACAAGAACAUAGCAAUAACUAUCUUUACAAAACAAUUAAGAGAGAGGUGAGAGAAAAUUCUCUUUGUUCUCUCUUCCCCAAACUUCAUCUUCUUGGGCGUUUUUUUUUUACUCUUUUCCGGUGGCUGGCGGUGAGCUUUUAACCGUCGGCCACCACCCCUAAUCACUCCCCUUGAUCUAAUCUUCAUCCCUGUUAAGCUAUGGUCCCCUCACCUCCUCCUUACUCCUCCUUCUCUAGUCAUCACCUGAUUGCGGUCGGAUCCGGUGACUAAAUCGACGUCUGGGUGUGUCCCCAGUGUCCCCGGAGAGAGGGCGAGGUUGUGAUUGUCCGGUUGCAUACAGGAGGCGCCGUCGGCUUGGUAGAUCUAGGGUUUUGUCUAGGCCUGGAUCUGGGUCAGAUCCGCCUCAGAGGCUUGCUGGAAUGAAGUGCUUUGCUUCCCCCUCCGGUCUCCGCCUCCUCUGACUUUCCCCUGCCUCCUCCUUCGGUUGUUCAUGUUAGAGCUUCCCCGUUUUUGUUUCUCCUGGUUCAAAAUGAUAUGACGAGCAUGAGGAUCUCGUCGGGGACCUCUCCCUUAUUUCAAGAGACAACAGCCAUGGCUUCCUACGGUGAUCGUUUGGCUCCCCUGCUUGCUAUCGAUGUCGUCUACUAGGGUUUUGAGGACAAUCCGAUGUGGUGAUUCACUUGCAUUUAGGCAGAGCCCUCUAUCGCCUCUCGGACCGCCUGUUGUCGAGGAGCUUCAUACUUCCUCUGCGCUUCAUACCCUUGCAUUCAAAGUUCCGACAGUCAGACAUUGUGUUAUCUCGUAGUCUUGCUGCAUCCUUUGUGUCGCGUGGGUGGUUUUGGAGCCUGUUUGUACCGCCUACGCUUGACCGUAACUCGAGCCUCAGCGUAAGCAGCGUCACUUCGGGCCUGAACCUUUGUCAACUGUCGAGAUAGCUAGGGGUUGGUUGGAUGACGUCCUCCUCCAGCGAAAGGAAGGCGCUACCGUCGAUGCCUGCUUGGAGCCACUUCGUUGAGUUCUCAACUGAGUCUUCUCUGGCUAUUCUCUUGCUUCUUCGGUUUUGUUCCGGUUCAGCAAGAAGCGUUUUGGAUAGGGUGCCUACAUUGUUGUUUCUCUUGAUCUUAUUGCAUUAUUAACUUCAGCUCUCUCUUGUUAGAAGCUUAAAUUUAAUCUCUUAGUCUCUUAGGGGUUUUUUUAAACUCAAAUUGGCUUUGUAAGCGAAUUGUGGAUGCAAUUCAUUUGUAUCCAAAACUUUCAUUUUGAUUAAUGAUAUUUACCAUUUAGCAAAAAAAAAAAAAAACAUAAGAUGUCCAUGAAUUUUGUAUCAGUGUCCACAUUUGUCUGAAUAUAGGUUAAAACACGUAAACCGUUAUUCAUAUGCAAGUUUAAUCGUGGACUAUUGUGCAAAGCAUAAGGUUAAUAAGUUUCCGGUUUCCACUACAUCUAAUUCACCGUUUCGCACAUGCAAAGAAGUUUAAACUCAAUAUGGGAAAGAUAUAUGUAAACAUAGCAAAAAUAUUGUGGAAUACUGUACAGAAGACCUCCAAUAUAUAUAUAAUAUAUAUAUAGUGAAGUGGUGUUAGAUAAUUCAAACGACAUAUGAACAAUUUAACAUUAAGUUUCGUGGAAAUUAUAUGCCCGAUCAUCAGACAAGUCAAAGUGAUUUUCCUGAAGCUAGUUGAGAGCUUUGUUUUAUUAUCAAAGAAAAUUCACAGAAGUUGUCAUAGUACACGAACAGAUGGAGGUUGUACUUUGUUUCAACGCAAGAAAUAUCAACCUGAACUUAUGUUCACACCUUAAGUUUGACAUUUGUAAAAUUUAACAACUUAUUUUAUCAACAUGUAAUUUAAUAACUUAAAGGUUUAGAAUCCGAAGCUUUUCUUGUUUAGUUGGUUAACAUGGGAGUUCUAGAAGAUAGCUUCGAAUACUAUUAUAGUAUUUUCGAAUACUUCUUUUUUGUCAUCAACUUAUAUAGACUCAUACAGACUAUUAUAGUAUUAUUAAAUGAUCAUACUACUAUAUGUUUUUUUCAACAUUAAUACUGCCAUAUGUUUGCUUACAAAUUUACUAAAUUACUGAGAAUAUGCAUUUGAAACUAUAUAGUAAGAAGAUGAUGAUGAAAGGAAAUGGCACAUAUAAUAUGAUUGGUACAUGUGUUUGUUGGUCGUCUACUAAUUAUAAAAACUGUUUUAGUUCUUACCAAACAUUUAAAUUCAAUCGAAAUUAUGAUAUUUGAGUUUUAAAAUAAUAAUUCUAGUGAUGAAAAAAAGAAAAUUCUAGUUGUAUAUGUUUGCUUACAAAUUUACUAAAAUACUGAAAAUAUGCAUUUUGUUAUGAAAUAACUUAUAAUUUAUAGUAUCGAGAAAUUUAAAUAAGAGUAGAAUUUAAUAUCCGUAGGAAGCAAAUAACACUACUAUGAGUGAGAGAGUUUAUUAUAAGUAAGAAGAAGAAGAUGUAAUGGUUCUUUGAUUAUAAACUCUUGUUCUUGUUUUUGGUGUACAAAAGAGUGAGAUGAGUGAUGGUAUUUAUAGUGAACAACAAUGCAUAAAAUAUCAAAGAUGGUGCUUGAUUUGGUAAAUGAGUGGGUGAUCAUAGUGCUUGAUGAGUAGAUGAUCAUAGUGCUUAAGUUGGUAAAGGGGUGGAGGAUCAUUUCAAAGUUUAUCUUAUAACACUCCCCCUUGAUCAUCCAUCUUGUAUUAAAUUAAGUUUCGUAAUACUCCCCUUGGGAACCGGUGUCACUCUCCGCUCUCGCUCAACGUCUUUGUUGCCUCGUUAAAAACCUUUCUAGGAAAACCCAAUGGGAAAAACCAUAGUUAGGUAAAAAGAGUACAACUACGUAAGCUCCCCCUCGAUUGAGCAAUCAUAGAUCCUUCUGAUGACGCAUUCCAAUGUUAUGGACAUGUUUUCUGAAUACCGAAGUAGAGAGUGAUUUUGUGAAGAGGUCGGCUGCAUUGUCGCAUGAUCGAACAUAUCUUACUUCAAUCUCUUUAUUCUUCUCGAGCUCUUGAGUAUAUGAGAAGAACUUCGGAGGUAUAUGUUUGGUUCUAUCGCUUUUGAUAUAUCCUUCCUUCGUUUGAGCAACACAUGCCGCGUUAUCUUCAUAUAGAAUAGUUGGCCCCGUACUUUUGUCAAUCCCACUACUUGAACAAAUGUGUUGGCUUAUAGAUCUUAGCCAUACACAUUCUUUACUUGCUUCAUGGAGUGCGAUGAUCUCAGCAUGAUUUGAAGAGGUAGCCACAAGCGUUUGUUUCUGAGAACGCCAAGAUAUAGCAGUGCCUCCGAUAGUAAAAACAUAUCCUGUUUGCGAUCGGGCUUUGUGUGGAUCUGAAAGAUAUCCUGCAUCUGCAAAACCAACCAUUUGACCAUUUGAAUCCUUAGGGUAAAAUAAGCCUAAAUCAAUAGUCCCUUGUAGGUAACGAAAGACAUGUUUAAUUCCAUUCCAAUGUCUUCGUGUUGGAGAUGAGCUAAAUCUUGCUAGAAGAUUAACAGCGAAUGAUAUAUCAGGCCGUGUACAAUUUGCAAGGUACAUCAACGCUCCAAUUGCACUUAGAUAUGGUACUUCCGGACCAAGUAUCUCUUCUUUUUCCUCAGGUGGUCGAAAUGGAUCACUUUCAAUGUUAAGUGAUCUAACGACCAUCGGGGUGCUAAGAGGAGUUGAUUUAUCCAUGUUAAAUCGUUUCAACACUCUUUUAGUGUAUGUGGAUUGAUGCACAAAUAUACCAUUUUGUGAAUGUUCUAUUUGUAGGCCAAGACAAUACUGUGUCUGUCCAAGAUCUUUCAUCUCAAAUUCUCCUUUGAGAUAGUCUGAUGCCUUUUGUAUUUCUUUUUGAGUUCCAAUAAUAUUUAGAUCAUCAACAUAUACCGCGAUUAUCACAAAUCCGGAUGUUGUUUUCUUGAUGAAAACACAUGGGCAUAUAGGAUCAUUCACAUAUCCUUCUUUUGUUAAAUGUUCACUGAGACGAUUGUACCACAUACGUCCAGAUUGUUUUAACCCAUAUAAUGAUCUUUGCAAUUUUAUUGCACAUAACUCUUUAGGUUUGGAACUUAAUGCUUCUGGCAUUUUAAAUCCAUCAGGGAUUUUCAUGUAGAUAUCAGUAUCUAAUGAUCCGUAUAGAUAAGCUGUAACAACAUCCAUGAGACGCAUCUCAAGAUUUUUAUCAGCGGCUAGACUCAUCAGGAAUCUAAAUGUGAUCGCAUCCAUUACAGGAGAAUAUGUUUCCUCAUAAUCAAUACCAGGUCUUUGAGAAAAUCCUUGGGCUACAAGGCGAGCUUUAUACCUUGUAAUCUCAUUUUUCUCAUUUCGUUUUCGAACGAAAAUCCAUCUGUACCCAACUGGUCUCACAUCUUCAGGUGUGAGUACAAUAGAUCCAAACACUUUUCGUUUGUUAAGCGAAUCAAGUUCGAUUUGUAUUGCUUCUUUCCAUUUAUUCCAAUCAUGUCUCUUUUGACAUUCAUAUAUGGAUUUCGGUUCUGGAUCAUCGGUAUCUUCAUUUACCUCACUUGACACGAUAUAUGAGAAAGCAUCAUCAAGGUCAUUUUGUUCAUUUCUAUUCCAUAUCCUUUUAUUAUGGAUGUAAUUAAUAGAAAUCUCAUGAUUAUCUUUCGAUUCAUGAUGCUCUGAUUCAUCAGAGUCCUUAUCAUUUAUUUCUUCCAAAAUAUUUUCUGCUAUUUUGGGUGCAUCAUAUAUUUCAGCUUUCUUCUGUUUCCUAGGAUUCUUAUCCUUAGAACCAGCAGGUCUACCACGCUUCAGGCGUGUUUUUGGCUCUCGUGUGUCAUCCUCCUUUUCUUGUUCAUUUGGCAUUUUGAUACGAGCAGGAGCAUUUGCAGCUGGUAUAUGAGAUUUAGUUACCGUCUUGGUAUCUGCAAAUGCAUCAGGUAGCUGGUUAGCUAUACUCUGUAAAUGCAUAAUUCGUCGAACUUCUAGUUCUGACUCUUUAGUAGGAGGAUCAAGAUAUAACAAUGAUGGUACACUCCAUUUUAUAUCACUUCCAACAUUUUUGUUUUCUCCCCCUAGAACUGGGAAUACAUUUUCGUCAAAAUGACAAUCAGCAAAACGUGCUGUAAAGACGUCACCAGUCUGUGGUUCUAGGUAUCUUAUAAUUGAUGGAGAAUCACAACCAACAUAUAUUCCCAACCUUCUUUGUGGUCCCAUCUUUGUUCGUUGUGGUGGUGCUACAGGCACAUAUACCGCACAACCAAAGAUUCUAAAGUGGGAAAUGUUUGGUUCUCGACCAAACGCUAACUGUAGUGGGGAAUACUUAUGGUAUGCACUCGGUCUGAUCCGAAUGAGUGCUUCUGCAUGCAAAAUGGCAUGUCCCCAUACAGAGGUUGGAAGUUUUGAUCUCAUGAUCAAUGGUCUUGCAAUCAAUUGCAGACGCUUAAUUAAAGAUUCAGCCAAACCAUUUUGCGUAUGAACAUGAGCAACCGAAUGUUCAACUUCAAUUCCCAUUACCAUACAAUAGUCAUUGAAUGCUUGGGAUGUGAAUUCACCAGCGUUGUCUAGUCUAACUCUUUUAAUAGUAUAAUCAGGAAACUGUGCUCGCAGUUUGAUUAUCUGAGUUAGAAAUCUCGCAAAUGCCACAUUUCGAGAUGAUAAUAGACAAACGUGUGACCAUCUACUGGAUGCGUCAAUUAAUACCAUAAAAUAGUGGAAUGGUCCACAUGGUGGAUGUAUCGGUCCACAUAUAUCACCUUGAAUUCUUUCAAGGAACUUUGGUGAUUCUUUAUCGAUUUUGGUUGGCGAUGGCCUUACGAUCAAUUUUCCUAGAGAACAUGCAACACAUGUCAUUUUAUUCCCUUGAGAAAUCUCCUGGAUUUUCAGUGGAUGACCAUGUGAACUUUCUAUGAUUUUACGCAUCAUUGUAGUGCCUGGGUGGCCAAGGCGAUCAUGCCAUAACGUGAACUCUUCUGGGUUCCGUUUUACUACAAGAUUUGAUUCGAUCUCAUCGAUAUAAGUAUGAUGUAACCCCGAAGGAAGUUCUGGAAACUUUUCCAAUAUGUGUUUUCUGCCACAUUUUUCAGAAAUUACAUACAUGUAUUUCUUUCCAUCCUCAGUUGCAGACUGAGUAUCAUAUCCGUGAAGAUAUAUGUCUUUAAAACUCAACAAAUUCCUUUUAGAACUCGGAGAAUAUAAAGCAUUAUUUAUGGAAAAUUUUGUUCCAUUCGGCAAAGUAAAGUUUGCUUUACCAGUUCCUUCAAUCACGUCUGCAGGACCUGAUAUUGUAUUGACGACAAUUCUUGUCGGUUUUAUAUCAGAGAAAUAUCUCUUUUGUCUCAGAAUAGUGUGCGUUGUUCCACUAUCUGGUAUGCAUAUUUCACGAAUCCGUUUCUUGGAUUUUGCUCCAUUAGCAUUUUGAUCCAUUUCUGAAAUUAUCAUAAAUAUUAAAUAAAAGUGAAACGUGAAAUUUAUUCAUUGAUUAUAUAAAGAAAACACACAAUAAUUAUACAUAUAUUGUUGUUAAAACAACAUUAUUCUUUGAAAACAUAAUUAUUAUACAUUACAAAUGAGGACUAUUCAGCAGUCUUAUUAGAAACAUUUCCGUACUCUUCAAGAGUAUUCUAGUCCAGCUCAUUUGCGAAAUCAGAGGAUUCAAGGUAUGAGGUCCCUUCAACGUUUUCCGUGAGGUUCACCUCUUUAGCCUUUCCUUUUAUGGAUUCUUGAUAUAACUUGCACAAAUGUGGGGGAGUACGACAGGUACGGGACCAAUGUCCUUUACAUCCACAUCUGUAACAUACAGUCUCACUUUUCUUUGUGGUAUCCUCUUCGGUUUCUUUGCCUUUAUGAGGUUGUUCAGAUCUAACCCAUUUGUUAGAUCUAAUACUUUUAGGAUAGUAAGGCUUUCCACGUUUGUUGUUGAAACGCCGACCACGACCUCGGUUGGUAUGGUUUCUCCUUCCCGAAUAUUCUACCGCCGUAGCAUUCACUUCGGGAAAUGCCUUGGCUCCCGUAGGUCGGGAAUUAUGGUUUUUGAUUAGUAACUCAUCGUUCUUUUCAGCCAACAUGAGUGUUACCAUCAAUUCAGAAAAUUUGGUGUACCCACAUUUUCUGUAAAUUCGGGAUAAGACGUUGUGUUCUUUGUGGAAAGUAUUGUAUGUCUUGUCAAGCAUUUCUGCUUCGGUGACAGGGUUACCACAAUAUUUUAAUUGUGCAACUAUCCUCAAGAUAGUGGAAUUGUAAUCUCUAACCCUUUGGAAAUCCUGAAACCUCAGGGUUUUCCACUCUUCAAGAGCGUGAGGGAGAUUGAUUUCCUUUUGAUUAUCGAAUCUGUCUUUCAAGGCUUGCCAUAGUACGGCUGGGUCCUCAACGUCUCCAUAGUCGUGAGUUAGAUUCUCAUCUAAAUGCUUCUUCAGGAAGAUUAUCGCUUCGGCUAUAUGCUCGGGUGGCGAUUUGUUACCGACUUUUAUCGCUUCGGUUAUCUUUUUUAUUACAAGAUAAGGUUUCACAUUUGUGACCCAUCUGACAUAAUUUUCGCCGGUUACUUUCAGAGCCGGGAACUGGAGUUUCUCGAUGUUUGCCAUUUGUAUUUCUAAAACACAAAAUAAUAAUUUUAUUAGAACUUCAUAAUUUAAAAACCGUUUACAUUAAUCAUACAAGCAAUUACAAGGAGAAGCGAUGUAAAGAAAAUUAAACCGAUAUUCAUCUUAAAUUCACUCGGAGUAAAUUCUCCAACGAAUAAACCAUAAAUAGAAACACAAAUAAAAAUGGCACAUAAAAACAAAAGUGCGCGAAUCAUCUUUCUUGAAAUGAAAAAUCGGAGGAGAGCGAUUUGAAAUUUUUUUGAGAAGAUGAAAUGUUUUGGAUGAUGAAAUGGAGUGAAAAUGAGUUGUAUUUAUAGAUGAAAAUUACUGUUCAUGACCGUUGGAGAAAGGGGAAAUUUUUGAAAAAUUUUCUUUGUGACCGUUGGGGUUAAAUCGAGUGCACCAAAAAUUAGUCUGAAAAUAUCGUAUUAAACGGUCAAUCAAAUCUAUAAAAUUUCAUAAAAGUAAAAAAUUAUGACAAUAAAAUAUUUAUGUUAUGACAACAAAUCAUGCGACGGCUCAGCCGAUCAAUGCAGAGUAAUAAAUAAAUUAUACGGCGGCUCGGCCGACCAAUUAAUAAUAAACAGAAUAUAAGGCGGCUCAGCCGACCAAUAAAUAAUAAACAGAAUAUAAGGCGGCUCGGCCGACCAAUAAAUAAUAAACAGGAUAUAAGGCGGCUCGGCCGACCAAUAAAUAAUAAACAGGAUAUAAGGCGGCUCGGCCGACCAAUAAAUAAAUUAAAUUACUAGUAAAUAAUAUAGGCGGUAUUCCGGCCAUUAUAACAUGAUAUAAAUAAUAGUAGAGGCGGUAUACCGACCAUUAUAACAGGGUAUAAAUGAUACAAAUAAAUUUUACCGAAUCGCAGAGUGAUCGUGCUGAUAACGUGUUAUGAAAUAACUUAUAAUUUAUAGUAUCGAGAAAUUUAAAUAAGAGUAGAAUUUAAUACCCGUAGGAAGCAAAUAACACUACUAUGAGUGAGAGAGUUUAUUAUAAGUAAGAAGAAGAAGAUGUAAUGGUUCUUUGAUUAUAAACUCUUGUUCUUGUUUUUGGUGUACAAAAGAGUGAGAUGAGUGAUGGUAUUUAUAGUGAACAACAAUGCAUAAAAUAUCAAAGAUGGUGUUUGAUUUGGUAAAUGAGUGGGUGAUCAUAGUGCUUGAUGAGUAGAUGAUCAUAGUGCUUAAGUUGGUAAAGGGGUGGAGGAUCAUUUCAAAGUUUAUCUUAUAACACAUUUGAAACUAUAUAUUAUAUACUAAGACUCUUUUUUUUUGAACAUUGUAUAUACUAAGACUCAGCACAUAAUAUAAUAGUGUACGUGUGCUUGUUAGUCGUCUACUAAUUAUAUAAAAAAAAAUUAGUUUUUUACCAAACAUUAAAAUUCAAUCGAAAAUAUGGUAUUUUAGUUGACAAAAUAAAAUGGUAAGUAAUUUAAGAAAUUUUUUCCACUUGACAUAAAAAGUUCUUCAUUUGAUUUUGAUCAUCAGAGCCCAACUACAAACCGGUCUUGGUUUCAAAAGUAGCUUAAUACAACAAAUAGGAGAAAUAAAAUAAGAUUUAUUCUCCUACUUUUAUAUGCAAAACGAGCUCUAAAUUUCUACUUUGAUUUCCAGUAUCGUUACACAUAAAAUACGAUAUUAUCUUUAUCAAUAUGUUGUUAUUAUAAUUUGGACAAAUAUACGGUCAUGCGUCUUCGCUAGGCAACGUGGACCACGGCGUCAUAUCCAUUGGGUAACUUCCCAGCACCCUCAGGAAUGACGUGUACUCUUGUACCUCCGCUAGCGCGUUUUGCGCACGCGCCUCCGCCAUCGACGCCUCGAAAUCGACGUAGAAUGUGUACUCGAAGUGUUUCUUUGUUCCCACGCUUCCGUCGUCGACGACUCUGAGCGGGCAGUUGUGGUGCGGCCGCGAUUCGAUUUUCGUCAGACUGAUGUUCCGAAACGCAAACGCGGAGAGCACUUUGAAGAGGACGCUGGUUCCCUGGUGCUCCUGAGCGGCGAAGACGAUGCUGGUUUUGAAGGGACGAUCCGUGCGAGGGAUGAUCGGAUCACGCGCGAGCAUCAGGAAGCGCGUGACGUUCCCCGCGUCGUCUUGGAUCCCGUCGGCGAGAAUCUGGAGCCCGUAGAGCUCCGCUGCUCUCGCGCUGGCCACGGCCGCCAUGUCGUGGAGGUUGUUCGAUGCGAUGUACUCCGCCGCCGCGGCCGUGUCAUGAAACGCCUCGAUCGCGGCUCUGGGAGUGAGUUUGUUGAGCGAUCCUUCGGUUUGAGCCAGAGCCUGGGGAUGCGAAAUCACGCGCGUGAUGCAGUCUGCACGGACUCCGGGGAGAGCGAGGAGGCAGUGGUGGACCGGGAUCUGAACCUCGCCGACGAUGUGGAGACGGUGACGGAGGAGGAGAUCGUAGUUUCUAUGAAUCGAACCUCCGAGAGAAUUCUCCACCGGGAGGACGGCACGAUCGGCGAUCCAGAGCUCCACCGCCUGAAACGCGACGUCGAAUUGGUCACACGGAAUAGCUUCAGAGUUAGGGUAAGCUUUUCCGGCGGCAGCUUCGGAGUACGCGCCGGGAACUCCCUGGUACGCUACGCGGAGGGUGGAUCCAUGAGACGGCGCCGGCGAGAGAUCUGUAUUCGUCAACGGUUGAACCAAUCCAGGCUUUCCGUUCUUCGUGUCUGACGGAACGAGGCUGAGAUUAACGGAGCCGUUACUGUGUCCGUUAACGGCGGCUACUUGAUCAGCUAAACCAGUGAUUGAGCUGGAGUUCUCAGCGGAAGCUACUUUGCUGGCUAAGAUAGCGCAUGAGCUCUGCCAAUCAGCUCGGCUCGAGCCAAUACCAUUAGGGAAGCUAAACGAUUCAGACUUGUAACUACAAAGAACAGACACGCGCUUUCCAUUUAGGUGACAAUAACGCGCGUUUUUAGCCGUUAGAUUCGUUUGGAUUAGGGAUUUGAGAUCACACGAGAACGCAGGCGAAACAGUUUGCAUGAUUUGAGUGGGGAAAAUAAAAUGCUACUGCUUUUAUUGUUGAUAAGAAA